rnacentral:rRNA from 1 species
AGCUUUACAUGCAAGUCGAACGGCAGCACGGACUUCGGUCUGGUGGCGAGUGGCGAACGGGUGAGUAAUAUAUCGGAACGUAUCCAAUAAUGGGGGAUAACUAAUCGAAAGGUUGGCUAAUACCGCAUACGCCCUACGGGGGAAAGCUAGGGACCUUCGGGCCUGGCGUUAAUGGAGCGGCCGAUAUCUGAUUAGCUAGUUGGUGGGGUAAAGGCCCACCAAGGCGACGAUCAGUAGCUGGUCUGAGAGGACGACCAGCCACACUGGAACUGAGACACGGUCCAGACUCCUACGGGAGGCAGCAGUGGGGAAUUUUGGACAAUGGGCGCAAGCCUGAUCCAGCCGUUCCGCGUGAGUGAAGAAGGCCUUCGGGUUGUAAAGCUCUUUCGCAAGGGAAGAAAACUUAUCCACUAAUAUUGGGUGAGGUUGACGGUACCUUGAUAAGAAGCACCGGCUAACUACGUGCCAGCAGCCGCGGUAAUACGUAGGGUGCGAGCGUUAAUCGGAAUUACUGGGCGUAAAGCGUGCGCAGGCGGUUUUGUAAGUCAGAUGUGAAAUCCCCGAGCUCAACUUGGGAACUGCGUUUGAAACUACAAGACUAGAAUAUGUCAGAGGGGGGUAGAAUUCCACGUGUAGCAGUGAAAUGCGUAGAGAUGUGGAGGAAUACCAAUGGCGAAGGCAGCCCCCUGGGAUAAUAUUGACGCUCAUGCACGAAAGCGUGGGGAGCAAACAGGAUUAGAUACCCUGGUAGUCCACGCCCUAAACGAUGUCUACUAGUUGUUGGUGGAGUAAAAUCCAUGA